rnacentral:rRNA from 1 species
AGCUCACUGGUCAAGUGAUUCCGCGCCGACAAUGUAACGGGGCUCAAGCACGCCACCGAAGUUGUGGCAUUGAUAUUAUUGGUAGGCCUUCGUGGUCCAGCCGUAUUGAUGGGUAGGAGAGCGUCGUGUGGCCAGCGAAGCGGCGGUGUGAACCAGCCGUGGAGGCUACACGAGUGAGAAUGCAGGCAUGAGUAGCGAAUCACGGGUGAGAAACCCGUGCGCCGAAUGAUCAAGGGUUCCAGGGUCAAGCUAAUCUGCCCUGGGUAAGUCGGGACCUAAGGCGAGGCCGACAGGCGUAGUCGAUGGACAACGGGUUGAUAUUCCCGUACCCGCAAAGGAACGCCCAUGAUGAGCCCGGUGUUGCUAACCACCCGAUCCCGCAUCCGACUUCGGUUGGGUGUUGGGGGAGCGUGGGACCCGAUCCGGUAGUAGUCAAGCGAUGGGGUGACGCAGGAAGGUAGCCCAACCACAGCGAUGGUUGUUCUGUGGGCAAGCGUGUAGGACGUCUGGUAGGCAAAUCCGCCAGAUCCACUUGGGUGUGGAGUCUGAGACGUGACGCGGAGCCAUAUAUGGCGAAGUGGGUGAUCCUAUGCUGUCGAGAAAAACCUCUAGCGAGCAACGAGCCGCCCGUACCCCAAACCGACUCAGGUGAUCAAGUAGAGAAUACUAAGGCGAUCGAGACAACCAUGGUUAAGGAACUCGGCAAAAUGCCCCCGUAACUUCGGGAGAAGGGGGGCCGGAUCCGUGAACCCACUUGCUGGGGGAAGCGGUGAUGGCCGCAGAGACCAGGGGAAAGCGACUGUUUACUAAAAACACAGGUCCGUGCGAAGUCGCAAGACGAUGUAUAUGGACUGACGCCUGCCCGGUGCUGGAAGGUUAAGAGGACCGGUUAGUUCCUUCGGGAGCGAAGCUGAGAAUUUAAGCCCCAGUAAACGGCGGUGGUAACUAUAACCAUCCUAAGGUAGCGAAAUUCCUUGUCGGGUAAGUUCCGAUCUGCACGAAUGGCGUAACGACU